UUUUUUUUUUUUUUUUUUUAAUAUUCACAACCAAGCUUUAUACUUUAUUAGAGCUGAACAAGCAUAUCAAGGGUCAGGGCAUGGAAAGGAAGAAGCAGGGUCUGCUUCUGGGUUGGAGAUGAAUCUAGAAAUGUUGCUGGUGAGGGGAAUUGGGUUCAGAACCAAAUCUAAAUGACCUUGGACAGCACACGUCCUUGGAAUAAGUGUCUUCUAUUCUUUCUAAUUAAUAUUUUAAAUGGAAACCCCAUGUUAUUCAAAGAGAAGAGUCCUUCUGACCAGAGGACAUUUUAAUGUCUCGUUCUCCUCCAGGGAUGCCUCUCAGCCUCACUUUCAGGAAUGGGAGUUUAGGAUGUUCAUGGAGUGAUGCAGAGCAAAGGAUGUUACAAGCCAUCCAUCUCUUGGAUCUCUUAAAGGAUUUAACUUUGUGAAGCUGCAUGGGGAGCAACAAGCUGCUUGCCCAGUGUUUUUGGGUUUAUUCAGAUUUUGCCAGAAAAGGAAGCUGGCUGAAGCAGAGGAGAACUAGGACUCCCGGUCUACAUUUAGCCUAUUUGUAACUCUGCCAAAAAAGAUGACAAGAGAAAGUUCACUGCCCUCCCCGAGCACCAGUGGGGGUUAUUUGGCCUCUUGCCCGUAGGUCUUCUCAAGGAGUAGCCAGGAGAGCACCCGCUUUGGCAGGGUGUGUGCUGGGAGGCUGUGGGGCCCCUUGCACGGUGCCCCCACCCCAUGGGCCACACUGGCUGCCUUCCAAAGCUCAGGGGCAGUUAGAAAAGAAUGGAGGGCCUUUUUCUCUCCUAUUAAAAAAACAAGGUUGAGUCACUAUUUUGUACACCCGAAACUAAUGGAACACUGUAUGCCAACUAACACAAGUUUUAAAAAACCCCACUCAGGUCAAUGCAAGAUGAUCUUUUCCUUCUCCAGUUUUCCAAAAUUUAUUUUCUAAAAAAAGAGACAACAUUUUGCGUGACUUGAAGCAGCGAUUUCUGACAGCAUCUGCUGACUCUAAGCAGAAAAGACAUAGCUAUUCCCAAGAACAAGUGAACAGACUGGCACAAACUUAAAUAUAUCACACCUCCACUACCACCUACGAAGAAGGCUUGAAAUCCAGCCUCCACCAAGAAUUCCAAGUCUUGGCAGUACACCGGCAUCCCUUGGAGAGCAUUAGAAUAUUCUGAUGUUUGGGUCACACUUAAGAGAUUAUGGUUUACUUAGCCUCGGUGUGGCUUUCACAUCAGGAGUUUUAAAACUUGUGGUCAAAUACAUAACAUAAAACUUACUAUUUAAGCCACUUUAAAGUGUAUGUUAACGACAUUGACACUGUGGUAUACCCAUGACUGCUAUCGAGCCCCAUACGCGUUAAGUAGUCACUCACCUUUCCCCUCCCCUCAGCCCCUGGCCACCACUAACCUACUUGAUGUCUCUGGAUUUCCCCAGUCUGGACAGUUCAUAUACCUGGAACCAUAAGAUAUAUGGCCUCUGUGUCAGACUUCUUCCACUUAACAUGUUUUCAAGGCUUAUCUGGAUUGAAGCAUGUAACAGUAUUUUAUUAAUUUUCCAUUAAUGGAAUGGGCUCUAUUGUAUGGGUAUACCAUAUUUUGUUUAUCCAUGCCUCAGCUGAAGGACAGUUGGGUUGUUUCCACCUUCUGGCUAUUGUGAGGAAUACUGCUACAUUUGCGUAAAAGUUUUUCUUUGAACACCUGUUUCAAUAAUUUUGCUGGGUCACAUGAUAGCUUUAUGCUUUUAUUUAGGAACUGCCAAACUAUUUCCACACAUGUCAGGGUUUUUUUUUUUAAAAGCUCUCUAGGUGAGUCUAACGUCUAGCCAAAGUUAAGAACCUAACGGUUAAGAUUCAACUACCAUUUUUUAUACAAGUAAGUGACAAAACAGAUGAAAUCAGCAAAAUCCAGACAUAAGAACUUAACUUUGUCAGCAAAUGAAUUAUAAGGAAAAACAAGAGUGAGGAAAAAAAAAAAAAAAGGAUUCAGGCAAGACUUCUACCUUUAAGGAAAUCCAGAAGCUGAUUUGGAUCUUAAUUGAAACAUGCAGUUUAAAAGAUUAUGAGACAGUUCAAAAUUUAGAUGCUGUAUAUUUUAUGAUACUUAGGAAUUAUUAUUAAUUUGUUAGGAAUGAUAAUGGCAUUAUAGUUUAUGUUAAAAAAAACUUCUCAGAUUUGUACCAAAAUAGUUUUGUAUGAAAUACAAAUUUUUCUCUAGAUAAUAUGGGAGGGCAUGGGUUCACAUACAGAUAAAAUACCAUUGGCCAUGAGUAUAAAAUGAUUAAAGGUGAUCAGUACAUGGAGAUCAUUAUGCUAUUCUAUAUACUUUUGUAUUUAUCCAUGUUUUUCCAUAGUAAAAUUUAAAAAACAAGUUCAUAUAGCCAUUAUGGAAUAACAGUGUGCAGCUUCCUCAAAAUACUAAAAAUAGAACUACCACAUGAUCCAGCAAUCCUGCUUUUGGGUCAAUAGCCAAGGAAAUAAAAUCAGUGUCCCAAAGAGGUAUCUGUCCUCCUAGGUUCAUUGACGUAUUGUUCUAAGCCACGAAAUGGAAACAACCCACGUGUCCCAAACAGGUGAAGGGAUAAAGAAAAUGUCUAUAUAAAUGAAUACACACACAAACACACACACACACACACACACACACACACACACACACACACACACACAGUGGAGUAUUAUUCAGCCAUAAAAAGAAGGAAAUCCUACCAUUUGCAAAAAUAUAGAUGAACUUGGAAGACCUAAUAUUAAAUGAAACAAGCUGGACAAAGACAAAUACUGGCAAUGAUCCUACUAAUAAAAGUCACAUUCAUAGUAACAGAGAGAAUGGUAGUUACCAAAGGCUGGGGGGGGAGGGUGGAGGAAAUGGGGGAGGGAGGUUUGAUCAAAGGGUACAAACUUUGAGUUCUAAGUAAGUUUACAUCCUGGAUACCUAAUGUACAGUAUGGUGACCACGGUUAUUAAUAAUAAAACUCGCUAAAGAGAGUAGAUCCCAAGUGUUCUCACCACAUGCACAUGGAAGGGUAGCUAUGUACAAUGCUGGACAUUUUAAUGAGUUUGGGGUAAUCAUGUCCCAAUUUAUAUGUCUAUCAAAAUAUCAUGUUAUACACUUUAAUACACACAUUUUUUAUUUGUCCAGCAAACCUUAUUAAAGCUGGGGGAGAGUAGAGUGGUUAAGAAACAAAAUCCCAGCCAUUGCAAACUAAUAUACAGGAAAGAACGUAAUCAAGCGUACCUCAUCCCUACUUAUUCUUCUUUCCAGCUAACUACAUGGCUUGGGACUGUGACUGGAGUGUGGAUUCCCUCCAGGUGUGCCUUUUUUUUUUUAAGAUUUUUUUUUUUAAUCCAUUCAUGAGAGACACAGAGAGAGAGGAGGGGGGCGGGGAGAGACACAGGCAGAGGGAGAAGCAGGCUCCCUGCAGGGAGCCCGACAUGGGACUCGAUACCAGGGCUCCAGGAUCACGCCCUGGGCCGAAGGCGUUGCUAAACCGCUGAGCCUCUGGGCUGCCCAAGUGUGCCUUUUAUUAGCUCCUUUGGUGGGGUUCACUCUGGAUGUCUCAGGCCUUGUCUCCUUCACAAAUAAGGACUUUUAAAUAUUCCAGUUGAACCCACUCAAAAAAAGCUUUCCUGCUCUAAAAUUUGAAAUACACCCAAUACUGUUUUUUAUUGUGGUAAAAUACAUAUAACAUAAAUUUGCUGCUCUAUUUUGAAGUGUAUGCUUUAGUGGCAUUAAGCACAUUCACAAUGCUGUAAAAACAUGGCCAUCAUUCAUCUUAACUUUUUCACCUUCCCAAACUGAAACUCUGUACCCAUUAAACUGUAACUUUUCAUUCCUCCCUUACCCUGGCAACCAUGCUACUUUCCGUAAGGACCUCCCUCCUGUAAGUGGAAUCACACAAUGUUUGUCCUUUUUGGCCUGGGUUACAUCACUGGGCAUACUGUCUUCAAAGUUCAUCCCUUUGUAGCACGUGUCAGAAGCUCCUUCCUUCUUAAGGUUGAAAAUACUCCACUGUAUGCACAGACCAUUUUGUUUAUCCAUGUAUCUGCUGACGGAUACUUGGGUUGCUUCCACUUCUUGAUGAUUACAAAUAAUGCUGAGAAUACUGGUAUACAAACAUCUGUCUGAGUCCCUGGUUUCAAUUCUUUUGGGCAUAUACUCAGAAGUAGAAUUGCUAGGUCAUUUGGUAAUUCUUUUUCUUUUUUAAACAAUUUUAUUUAUUUAUUCAUGAGAGACACAGAAAGAGAGGCAGAGACACAGGCAGAGGGAGAUGCAGAACUCGAUCCCAGGACCCCUGGGAUCACGACCGGAGUCAGAGGCAGACAGAUGCUCAACCACUGAGCCACCCAGGUACCCCUCAUUUGGUAAUUCUAUUUAAUAUUUUUAAAACUAAGUCAAUAUUUGGGGCACCUGAGUGGCAGUUGUACACUCAUCAUUAUAAUCAAUUUUCAUGAUCCACAAAAGAAGCUGUACCUAUGAGUUGUCAUCUCCCCAACCUCCCAAACCUUCCCAGCUCCUGGCAACUACUUCUCUAUUUUCUGUCUCUAUGGAUUUGCCUAUUCCAGCUAUUUCAUAAAAAUGAAAUCACACAAUAUAUAUCCUUUUGUGCCUGGCACGCAUCAGUACGUCAUUACUUUUUAUGGCUGCAUAUAGUCCAUUGUAUGGAUAUAUUAUAUUCUAUUUAUCCAUUCAUCAGCUGAUGAGCACGGGGUUGUUUCCAUUUUUAUGGCUGUUGUGAAUAGUGAGAAUACAUUCUUGGGAUUGCUGGAUCGCAGUCCUUCUUCUUUAUAAGGCCAAUGUGGAACUGUUGCUUCCAGGAUCUGUCAGGACAGCACGAGACCAGCAGAAACCAAACUCCUGGGGUUGGCUCCACUCAGUGGCUGACUUGAAAAGCUGUUCAAGUUUGUAGUUUGUAAUAUUGCUUGUUGGGUCUUUCUUCUUUGAAUUCCUUCUUACAUGAACUCUAGUGCACUUUACUGUUGGCUGGUGAUAGUCCUCUAUAUGUCUACCUAUGUUUAAAAUCAUCUUCCUUAGGGGCACCUGGGUGGCUCAGUCAGUUAAGCGUCUGACUUCAGCUCAGUUAUGAUCUUGGGGUCCUGGGCUCCAAGUCGGGCUCCCUGAUCAUGGGGAGCCUGCUUCCCCUUUUCUUCUGCCCUUCCCACUGCUCUUUCUCUCUUUCUCAAAUAGACCAAAAAAAAAAAAUCAACUUCCUUGGAUGAUGCAGAUUUUAAUAUUCUGCAUCUAAUGUCCUGUUAUUCUAUCUGUAUAAUUAAAACUACUCAAUUGUUUGUUGACCUACUCUCAGAAAAGACAGAAUUUCUGCUCUCUUCUGGGGGAUCUCCCUCCAGACUAGUCACAAACUGGUGUAAGAGUUGAUGGGCUUUGCUUGCAAGUUGCCCAUACAUAUAUUUUUUAAUGCAAUUUUUUAAAAAAUUGAAGUAUAGCUGACACACAAUGUUACAUUAGUUUCAGGUAUACAGUAUGAAGAUUUGACAGCUUCAUACAUUAUGCCAUGCUCAGCACAAGCGUAGCUACUAACUGUCCUCAUACAAUGCUUUUGCAAUACCAUUGACUACAUUCCCUAUGUGGUAUCUUUCAUCCCCGUGACUUACUCACUCCAUAACUAGAAGCCUAUACCUCCUACUCCCCGUCACCCAUUUUCCAGAGGAGGUGGCUCUCCUCUGGUAAUCACCAGGUUGUUCUCCGUAUUUAUGGUUCUAUUUCUGUUCUUUUGUUUUGUCUAUUUGUUUUUUUUUAAAUUCCAUUUAAAUUUUUAAAUGAUAAGUGUAAUCAUAUGAUUUUUCUUUCUCUAUCUUAUUCCACUUAAGCAUGGUACCUUCUGGGUCCAACCAUCUUGUCACAGAUGGCAAGACCUCAUUUUUUUAACAGAUGAGUAAUAUUCCAUUGUAUAUAUAAAAAUCUUUAUCUAUCAUCGAAUACUUAGAUUGCUUCCAAAUGUUGGCCAUUGUAAAUAAUGCUGCAAUAAAUAUAUGGGUGCAUACAUCUUUUUGAAUUAGCGUUUUCGUUUUAUUUGGGUAAAUACUCGGUGGAAUUCCUCAAUCAUAUGGUAGUUCUAUUUUUAAUAUAUUUGUGGAAUCUCUAUACUGUUUUCUACAGAGGCUAUAAUGAUUUGCAUUCCCACCAACACUGUAUGAGGGGCCUUUUUCUCUGCAUCCUCAUUAAUACCUGUUAUUUCUUGGCUCUUUGAUACUAGCCAUUGCAUCAGAAUAUAUUUUUGAAGGAGGAUACGGAACAUUCCUCCCACAGUUUUGCAAAUUCCAACUUCUAUUCUGCUUCUCUUUCUACACCAACUUAUAUGAGAGGCUCUGAAUUCACAUUAGCUGCAGAAAACCAGUCACGUCUUCUGCAUAAAAUCUGACCUCUCUCAACUGUGUUACUUACACAUCUGAUGUGGUGCGGACUUAAUUUUGCCUUUGGUCAAAAUCUACUGGGUAUGGUCGCGGUUGCACAAAUUACAAAGAGGAAAAGUGUUUGCUGUCUUCCAGGAGAUGGACAAGGAUUGUAAAAAAGAUUAAUAGAAGAUAAGGGCUCUGAGAGGGUAUCAUGAAAGUAAAUUCCAUGAAGACAAAAGAAAAAUGCCUGCUAAAAUUUUUAUAUAUAGAACAAAUGAUGUUCAAUACUUUUCCUCAGUUAAAGAAUUU
rnacentral:lncRNA from 1 species